UCAGAAGACACCGGCCCAGAUCCGACAGCUGUAACACAAAGCAAGCCCAUCAUCAAUUUCCUUCCCUCCCGGCCUCCCCCAACCGGCCAUGUCUCGCCGCGCCGCCAUGGCAUCAUCCGCCGCCCCGCGCGCGCGCCUUUCGCCGCCGGCGCCCGCCGUUCGCCCCCCGAGGAAGCGAGGCCGGUCGCCGCCCGCACCAGGAAGCACAUCUUCGUGGCGCGCAUCCACCGAGAACGCCGCGCCCCGCGACCAACGCAGCCGCUGGCAAGCCCCGGAGCGUGCCCUUGGUCGCGUCUGGCGGCAGUUCCGCCCGCCGCAGCCUGCCUUGCCCUCCUCGCGGCGGUGGCUUUCAUCGGAGGACGCCUCUACCUCCACUUCCGGAGACACCUGCACAAUCAUGUCGUACAACAUCUUGGCUGAUUACAAUGCAAGGAACCAUCCUGACCUUUAUCAGGAUGUCCCUUGGGAUGCAAUGAGGUGGGAUUCAAGGAGGCGGCUUAUUAUCCGUGACAUUAGGCACUGGGACCCUGACCUAGUGUGUCUUCAAGAGGUGGAUAGGUUUCAGGACAUUGCUGCAGGAAUGAAGAGCAGGGGGUAUGAAGGUAUAUUUCAGAGGCGAACUGGAGAUACUAGAGAUGGAUGUGCCAUGUUUUGGAAGUCAAAACGGUUACAUCUGCUUGAGGAAGAUAGUAUUGACUUUAGUGAAUUCGAUCUCCGAAAUAAUGUUGCUCAAAUAUGUGUUUUUGAGCUUAAUGGAGCACACAAAUUAGUUCUCGGGAAUAUUCAUGUUUUGUUUAAUCCAAAGAGGGGUGAUGUAAAAUUAGGCCAGAUUCGCUUGCUAGCUGAGAAGGCAAAUGCUCUUGCUGAAAAAUGGGAUAAAAUUCCUAUUGUGCUUGCUGGUGAUUUCAACAGCACGCCUGAUAGUGCUAUCUACAAAUUCUUGACGACAAUGAAGCUGAACAUUUCUUUGCAUGAUAGAAGACAGUUAUCUGGACUUGAUAGCUCUGAAUUUGAUCUAUACGAGCUUUGUAGUUCACUGAAGUACCAAUGGAGUGAUGAAGAAGUGAGAAACGCGACCGGGUAUUCAAACGUCAUGGUCGCUGAACAUCCAUUGAAGCUCAGUAGUUCAUAUGCUAAUUUAAAGGGAAAUUCAAACAAUAGGGGUCUUCAUGGUGAACCUCUGGCAACCUCCUUUCACAAGAAAUUUCUUGGCACGGUGGAUUAUUUGUGGUACACUCAUGGACUUGAAUGCUCCAAGGUUUUGGACACGUUCCCUAUAGGUGUUUUGAGGAGAACAAGGUGUCUACCAACCAGGGAAAUUGGCAGUGAUCAUUUGCCCAUUAUUGCUGAAUUCGCCUUCACGGAAUCACUUGAAGAUGAUUCUGAGGAAGAAGAUGAUUCUGAGCAAGAUGACGAGCCUGUGCAAGAAGUGUGCACAGGGCAACACGUUUACCCCUCAGAUGGUGAGGCCCGUUGAAGUGACCAAGUGAUCCAGUUGGUCAAAAAGGUUUAAGGUACAUUAUUGGAGAACUGGGAGCGUGAUGCACGAGAAACUACACUGCGUCUGCCAAGAUCCUUAAACAGUUCUCCUUCAGUACAGAAGGAAUUUCGCCGAUACCUUUGUUGUGUAGCUUCUGUAGGGGAGGGACAUUCUGCUCCCCAUUGUCCCAAACGCGGAGCAGAACCAGUACAUGUUGUACGCCGGGUUCUGCACUUCAAUGGUUAACUGGCUAGGAUGGUAGCACCGAAAGCGACAUGCUGAAUGGCCAUCAUCAGAACAAAUGCCCAAAGUCUAGACUAGCCAAGAAAACAGCGCGCCAGGUGGGGGCCUGCUCCCUCCCGUUCGGAACAAAUGGCUCGUUUGGUUUGCUGCCGAGAGCAUCGACUGAUCCUGCAUCUAGCCGGCCAGGCCAGGCCAUAUGCACCG